GACGUAGGGGGCAAGCGUUAUUCGGAAUUAUUGGGCGUAAAGCGCUCGUAGGCGGGACAGGAAGUCCGUGAAGAAAGACCUGGGCUCAACUCAGGGACCGGCACGGAUACUCUUGUUCUUGAGGCAAUCAGAGGGUGAUGGAAUUUCCGGUGUAGCGGUGAAAUGCGUAGAUAUCGGAAGGAACACCUGUGGCGAAAGCGGCUCACUGGACCAUUACCGACGCUGAUGCACGAAAGCUAGGGGAGCAAACAGG
rnacentral:rRNA from 1 species